rnacentral:snRNA from 1 species
GUGCUCACUUUGACAGCACAUAUACUAAAAUUGGAACUAUACAAAGAAGAUUAGCAUGUCCCCUGCACAAGGAUAACACACAAAUUCAUGAAGCAUUCCAUAUUUUU